rnacentral:rRNA from 1 species
AACGAACGCUGGCGGCAGGCUUAACACAUGCAAGUCGAACGGGUGUAGCAAUACAUCAGUGGCAGACGGGUGAGUAACACGUGGGAACCUUCCUAGGGGUACGGAACAACUCAGGGAAACUUGAGCUAAUACCGUAUACGUCCGUGAGGAGAAAGAUUUAUCGCCCUUAGACGGGCCCGCGUCGGAUUAGCUAGUUGGUGGGGUAACGGCCUACCAAGGCGACGAUCCGUAGCUGAUCUUAGAGGAUGAUCAGCCAGACUGGGACUGAGACACGGCCCAGACUCCUACGGGAGGCAGCAGUGGGGAAUCUUGGACAAUGGGCGCAAGCCUGAUCCAGCCAUGCCGCGUGAGUGAAGAAGGUCGUCGGAUUGUAAAGCUCUUUUGCCAGGGACGAUAAUGACGGUGCCUGGAGAAUAAGCCCCGGCAAACUUCGUGCCAGCCGCCGCGGUAA